GGGAGCUUGCUCCCUGAUGUUAGCGGCGGACGGGUGAGUAACACGUGGGUAACCUGCCUGUAAGACUGGGAUAACUCCGGGAAACCGGGGCUAAUACCGGAUGGUUGUUUGAACCGCAUGGUUCAGACAUAAAAGGUGGCUUCGGCUACCACUUACAGAUGGACCCGCGGCGCAUUAGCUAGUUGGUGAGGUAACGGCUCACCAAGGCGACGAUGCGUAGCCGACCUGAGAGGGUGAUCGGCCACACUGGGACUGAGACACGGCCCAGACUCCUACGGGAGGCAGCAGUAGGGAAUCUUCCGCAAUGGACGAAAGUCUGACGGAGCAACGCCGCGUGAGUGAUGAAGGUUUUCGGAUCGUAAAGCUCUGUUGUUAGGGAAGAACAAGUGCCGUUCAAAUAGGGCGGCACCUUGACGGUACCUAACCAGAAAGCCACGGCUAACUACGUGCCAGCAGCCGCGGU
rnacentral:rRNA from 1 species